UACGGAGGGUGCGAGCGUUAAUCGGAAUUACUGGGCGUAAAGCGCGCGUAGGCGGUUUGUUAAGUCGGAUGUGAAAGCCCCGGGCUCAACCUGGGAACUGCGCCCGAUACUGGCCGACUUGAGUGCGAGAGAGGGAGGUAGAAUUCCAUGUGUAGCGGUGAAAUGCGUAGAUAUAUGGAGGAAUACCGGUGGCGAAGGCGGCCUCCUGGCUCGACACUGACGCUGAGGUGCGAAAGCGUGGGUAGCAAACAGG
rnacentral:rRNA from 1 species